rnacentral:rRNA from 1 species
GGGCUUGACAUCCCACGAACCUGCCCGAAAAGGUGGGGUGCCCGCAAGGGAGCGUGGAGACGGGUGGUGCAUGGCUGUCGUCAGCUCGUGUCGUGAGAUGUUGGGUUAAGUCCCGCAACGAGCGCAACCCUCACCCCUAGUUGCCACCGGGUUAAGCCGAGCACUCAAGGGGAACUGCCAGCGUCAAGCUGGAGGAAGGCGGGGAUGACGUCAAGUCAUCAUGCCCCUUACGCCCUGGGCUACACACGUGCUACAAUGGCCAGCACAAAGGGACGCGAGACUGCGAAGUGGAGCUAAUCCCAAAAAGCUGGUCUAAGUUCAGAUUGCGGUCUGCAACUCGACUGCACGAAGGAGGAAUCGCUAGUAAUCGCGCAUCAGCCCGGCGCGGUGAAUACGUUCCCGGGCCUUGUACACACCGCCCGUCACACCACGAAAGCUGUCUGUACUCGAAGUCGCUGAG